rnacentral:rRNA from 1 species
UGCAGUCGAACGCUUCUUUUUCCACCGAGAGCUUGCUCCCCGGAAAAAGAGGAGUGGCGAACGGGUGAGUAACACGUGGGUAACCUGCCCAUCAGAAGGGGAUAACACUUGGAAACAGGUGCUAAUACCGUAUAACAAUCGAAACCGCAUGGUUUUGAUUUGAAAGGCGCUUUCGGGUGUCGCUGAUGGAUGGACCCGCGGUGCAUUAGCUAGUUGGUGAGGUAACGGCUCACCAAGGCGACGAUGCAUAGCCGACCUGAGAGGGUGAUCGGCCACAUUGGGACUGAGACACGGCCCAAACUCCUACGGGAGGCAGCAGUAGGGAAUCUUCGGCAAUGGACGAAAGUCUGACCGAGCAACGCCGCGUGAGUGAAGAAGGUUUUCGGAUCGUAAAACUCUGUUGUUAGAGAAGAACAAGGAUGAAGUAACUGUUCAUCCCUUGACGGUAUCUAACCAGAAAGCCACGGCUAACUACGUGCCAGCAC